UAAAUGAGCCGACUGAUCUGGGAUGUGUUAGAGGUGGCUGAUGUGGGAGUGGAGCUGUUCUUGUUGCCCCUCACGAUGUCUUCCAAUUUGUGGUAGGAUUCUGUCUAUUCACUUUCAUCAUCACUUUCCUGAAAGUUCAAAUGGUUCAUAUUCCUUUCUAGCGGUGGAAGUCCAUCUUCUGAAUCACUAGAAGCAUCCUCAUCUUUGCUUGUUUCUGCUCCUAUAGCACAGAAAGCUUCAACAUCUGGGACAGCUUUUGGAACCUGAUUUUGCAGGGAAAGCCAAUCAUUUUGAACAGAAAUAAUGGCCGCACUAUUUUCACACUCAGAGUAUGCCUUUAGAAGUUCCCUAUUGAGGCUCAGGAAUGCAUGACCCCAUUUGAACUUGCCCAGCAACAAAUUUGCAGUUUCCUUUUCCCCACAUAUUAUCAAAGCUGCAGAUAAUGCUUCUACACAAGAGAGCUCACAGGGUCGACCAUAAUUUACUGGGUUCGCUGCUACAAGCCAUGGUAACAAGCGAGGAGCAGCACAGCGCAGUUUCACAAAUGGUACAUCAUUCAAGCGUGCCCAUGAGCAAUCCACAACAGCUAAUCCUCUCCUCUCUAUUAAGCAAUAAUCUUCUUUAGAGACGCAUUGACUCCCAACAGGACUUAAAACAAUGCCACCAAAACCACUACUGACACGCAACUCUUUCAACAAACCAAAUCUUGCGAGCUUGCGCCCUGUACACCUUUUCGCGUCACACUGUCCAAAGUCCCACAUCGCAAGCUGAAUUCUGGGCACAUUUGUAACCUCUUCAGGAACUUGAUCAGAUGGGAGAGACUCAUCUUGCCUUUCAAGGUGACUGGUCCGGCUGGAUUGUCCACGAUGAGAAUUGUGAGUUUUAGAUCGCCUGGGUUUGUUACGACCCAUUUUUGGUCGUGAAUGGAGCGAGAACAAAUCACCAACCGAAUCUAAUACGAGAGAGUUAAGAGGGAAUACAAGGAAGAGAAAGAGAAAGGUCUACGAUUUUCUUGCCAAACAGCGUUUUCCUGGAAAAGAAAGAGGAGUAGAAUUGCCGGAAAAACAGACAAUUGGGAUCUGUGAGAGCUAUUUGCGCAGGUGUCCGAGUUACAAAGUUUGCUUGGCCGAUCUAUAAGAGCUGAAACAGAAACCUUUGAACCUUCACCGCAGGGAGCAGCAGCCUACUAGGGUUUAUGCAAGCACGUGAUAUUCAGG
rnacentral:misc_RNA from 1 species